rnacentral:rRNA from 1 species
GACGAACCGUCCGAACGUUAUUCGGUAUCACUGGGCUUAAAGAGUUCGUAGGCGGCCAAGUCGGUCAGGUGUGAAAUCCCACAGCUCAACUGUGGAACUGCGCUUGAAACCGUUUGGCUUGAGGGAGAUAGAGGUGAGCGGAACAGAUGGUGGAGCGGUGAAAUGCGUUGAUAUCAUCUGGAACACCGGUGGCGAAAGCGGCUCACUGGAUCUUUUCUGACGCUGAGGAACGAAAGCUAGGGUAGCGAACGGG